rnacentral:rRNA from 1 species
AUUGAACGCUGGCGGCAGGCCUAACACAUGCAAGUCGAACGAGAGGCGGACGGGUGAGUAAGGUCCGUGACACUGCCUGAUGGAGGGGUAUAACUACGCGAAACGGUAGCUAAUACCGCAUACCACCAGAGGUGCCCAGAUGGGAUUAGCGUGUUGGUGGGGUAACGGCUCACCAAGGCGACGAUCCCUAGCUGGUCUGAGAGGAUGACCAGCAACACUGGAACUGAGACACGGCCCAGACUCCUACGGGAGGCAGCAGUGGGGAAUAUUGGACAAUGGGGGCAACCCUGAUGCAGCCAUGCCGCGUGUGUGAAGAAGGCCUUCGGGUUGUAAAGUACUUUCAGCGGGAAAGCGGUACCCGCAGAAGAAGCACCGGCUAACUCCGUGCCAGCAGCCGCGGUAAUAC